UAGGGAAUCUUCCGCAAUGGACGCAAGUCUGACGGAGCAACGCCGCGUGAGUGAAGAAGGAUUUCGGUUCGUAAAACUCUGUUGUUAGAGAAGAACAGCGCAUAGAGUAACUGUUAUGCGUGUGACGGUAUCUAACCAGAAAGGGACGGCUAACUACGUGCCAGCAGCCGCGGUAAUACGUAGGACCCGAGCGUUGUCCGGAUUUAUUGGGCGUAAAGCGAGCGCAGGCGGUUAGAAAAGUCUGAAGUGAAAGGCAGUGGCUCAACCAUUGUAGGCUUUGGAAACUGUUUAACUUGAGUGCAGAAGGGGAGAGUGGAAUUCCAUGUGUAGCGGUGAAAUGCGUAGAUAUAUGGAGGAACACCGGUGGCGAAAGCGGCUCUCUGGUCUGUAACUGACGCUGAGGCUCGAAAGCGUGGGGAGCGAACAGG
rnacentral:rRNA from 1 species